CCCGCAUACUCCCCUUCCUUUUGUUCUGAUUUUUUUUGUGUGGGCUCGGACGGCGACGAAUCCCCCUGUAUGUGUUUUUCCUACGAUGGUGUGUAGCGGCAGAAUUGUUUCUUGUCCAUUGAGGCAUUGCGGUGUAGCAGCCGUUCAUUUUUGUGGUCAGCGUGGAGCUCCGAGCGGCGAUGGACUGUGCGGUGUUGAGCAGGGCAGCAUUCGAUUUUUUUUGUGAUCAUCAUGGGUGCUAAUCUAUCUUCUUUAUUGGUUGCGGUGCAAGGCGACGGUGAAAGUGUGUGUUGUAGAGCGAUGCUUCUGGUCUUGUUGUUCGUAUUGUUUUUCUAGUUGCCUGGCAACGGUGUUGUUCUGCGGAAGCUGCUACAGAUCUCUAAAGCGACGUGCUAUUGUUUUCUUCCGUUGAUUGUGUAACCGCGGAACAGUGGUCGGCGGUUUUGAUUUGUUGUAAUUAUUUUCUUCUUCUGAUGUUGCGGUCGGGUCGUGGUUGUAGGUAUUGAUACGUUACGGUUGCAAGGAUCGAGCUGGUUUUGUGUUCCCUUAGAUGGUAUUUUCUAGUGGAGUGCGGAGACAUCGCCGAUUUGUGUAGUAGGGAGCGGCAGAGAUGACUAAUUGGUUGCGGCUAGAGAUUCUGUGCUUGGCGGUUCUCACUCUUAGAGGGCCGAUUUAAGUCUUGUACUUCUGGCUACAAUUCAGAAUGUUGAGACUAAUGUGUAUUCGCUAGGAGGAUAAAUCUAUGUGCAAGACAACGACAGAUAGUUGUAUUAAGCCUAUAUCAAUGACAGACAGAGUUGAGGUUUAAUGUCUCGAGCAUACGUACUAUUCACGUUAGACAGCGGGACCAGCACUUCAAGGGUGUGCGAUCGAUUUCUUCAAUGAGGGAAGCGGCGGCCACUAACCGAGUUACCGAGGCCUUCUGAAUCUGGUGAAUUUCGCGUAUAUCAUUCUGUUGAUCCUCAAAUGGCUUGCAGAACUGGAAGUCCGCUGGAGACAUUGUGUAGUCUACAUGAUGGAGUAAUUUGAUUUUGCAGCCGCUUCCACUUCCACGGUGCAACGCCGGAAAGUGAACCUGGAAAAAAAUCUCCUGAGGGCCCCGCAAAUCGGAACGGUGAAUCGGGCUUGUAUUGGGACUCUCAGUCGCGUUUGUUAGGUUGGCUUCUGGAUAGUUCGAGCUGCACGUUGCCUUCGGAGAGGCGACUUUUUAGAGGGAAGGUGGUGCUUGGGUGAAGUUUAAGCCUUAGGUGCAAAGAUAUCUUACGGGGUACAGCAAUUCGUCUGCAGCAGCAAUCUCAAUGUCAACCCCAAGGUUAGAAUCUUCAGUUUCGGAAGCAAAGUCGUCGUCCGAAACGGUUCUCUGAUCUGACCCGGUAGCAGCAAAAUAAGUAUUAGGCAAUACUUGGAACUUCCUAGAUUGUUACAAGCUGAGAGACCAUUGUAGUGCUACUACGCGGACGAAUCCGUUUGUAUUAGUCACAUGAUUCGGUACUAAGAGCUGUAGUAUAAUUGGAACAGCAAAGGGGCUUACUUAAUCUCUAAUAUUGUUUUCAUUUAUUUUCUUCUGUGCUUCUGUGAUCAGGAGCCCUUAUUGUAUCAGUUGUCAUUUUGAAGCAUAUUGCGCAUGCCCAUGAGAUCAGGUUAGUUAAUAGGUUGCAUAUUAGACCGUAGGAGAUCACUAGGUUGUUAGAAAAAAUCGGAGUGUCGACUCGUCUAGAUGCGCGAAGUUGAAGCUGUUCAUGGAAGGUGGCUUUUUGGGAUUUCACCGCAUUAUUGGAAAGCCUACCAUUGCGGCCUGUGUGAGGCGCAAGACUUAAGCAUUCGAGUAUUUGUGAGUGAACGGAAAAAACUCUUCUUCAUUGUCCGAUUCAGCAGAAGAGUGCAAGUUUGAUGAACUCAGCAUCUUUACCAUCGUGGUGUCAGUGGAAGGGAAAAGGUAGGAGUUUGUGGUGUACAUUGCGACUGUUGACUAGAGCGAUGCAAAAUAUUUCAAGUAAAUAAUUAUUAUUAAAGUCAACGUGGAAGUAAUCUCGGCAAAGGGAUUCUUUAUCAGAGAAUACGGCAUUUGCAGACUAGUAAGCCGCUCCCUCAACGAGAGCGGUUACUUCCUCGAUCAUCUGAGCAGGGCAUAUCAUUCACUGAAUGUCAAGUCCCCUGAACUACAUUUGAACUUCGUCGAAUCUUGCAGCAAGGGAUUCAUGAUUAAUGUACAACAUAUGAUGAUGAAGGGCAUAGAGAAUCCUGAAGGCACCUUCAAUAAAUAUUUAUAUUGCUGGCUGUAGUGCUUGGGCAGCUGGAGAGAGUCAACGCCAGAGAGUAGUGAUCUCCUAUUACUGAAUGAAGGUUUUCUAGAUUAUACAUAUGUAGGAGAAGCUUGGUGCUAGAUGAUGUUACAGAAGCAGACAUACGAGCCGCAUGUUGGAAUGCAGUUGGCAGUGUCGAUUCCUGAAAAUAGAAGUUUUAGGAAGUUGUGCCGAAUCAGUCUCCAACAAACUGAAAUGGAUGUCAAACGGGACUGUUUGCGAACAAUAGCAAUG